UACGUAGGGACCAAGCGUUGUUCGGAUUUACUGGGCGUAAAGGGCGCGUAGGCGGCGUGACAAGUCAGUUGUGAAAUCUCCGAGCUUAACUCGGAACGGUCAACUGAUACUGUUGUGCUAGAGUGCAGAAGGGCAAUCGGAAUUCUUGGUGUAGCGGUGAAAUGCGUAGAUAUCAAGAGGAACACCUGAGGUGAAGACGGGUUGCUGGGCUGACACUGACGCUGAGGAGCGAAAGUGUGGGGAGCGAACAGG
rnacentral:rRNA from 1 species